ensembl:snRNA U6 U6 spliceosomal RNA
GUGCUUGGUUCGGCAGCACAUAUACUAAAAUUGGAACGAUACAGAGAAGAUUAGCAUAGCCCCUACGCAAGGAUGGUAUGUUCCAUAUUUUU